UACCAAAGGAUAAUAGU
rnacentral:tRNA from 1 species